rnacentral:rRNA from 1 species
AUGCAUUGGAGCGACGAGGAGACGUCUGUUCUCGUCGACGCUUGGGGCCCGCUGUACCUCGGCCGCAACCGAGGCUCCCUCAGCAUGGAGGAGUGGGACUCCGUGUGCAGAGCCGUCGACGCACACCACGCCGCCGCCGGGCUCGACUUCAGCCGCAACCCCGCCGGCUGCAAGAGGCGCAUCUCUGCACUCAAGGCUCGGUACACGGAGGAGGCCGCCAAGGAGCAGCCGACGUCGGCGUGGCGCCACUUUGCUCACCUCCGGGCGUUCCUGGCCGACCCCAGCGGCGGGCCUCCGGGCUUCGGCGCCAAGAAGCCGGAGGCGUCCGUGAAGAAGGAGAAAAAGAAGGUGGAGGGGGCGAGUGGAUCGGUCGGCACGACCAAGGUCCCGGCGAAGCGCCAGUUUUCGAGCCUACGGGACAUCCUGGCAAAGACGCCGGCGACCGUGAAGGAGGAGGAGGUGGUCGGCUGCGGGUGUGAGUUGGUUGGGGGUUCGGCGGCGGGGGUGAGCGUGACGAAGCUGGUGGCGGAGAUGACGAGGCUGGCGGAGGUGCACGAGCGCGUGGAGAUGGAGAGGCUCAAGUUCAUGAAGGAGAUGCUCAUGAUGAAGAUGAAGGAGGAGGAGGAGACGGAGGACGUGAAGCUGGAGCGCAAGAAAGUGAAGGCGGAGAAUGAGGAACAAGUCCACGGCAACUAA